AAAGCAUACGAGAAAAAAUGUGUAUACUCGACAAAUUAAUAUAGUUAUUCGAAUAAGCGUUACAUCAAAAAUAAGUUUUGCACAAAUAUCAAUUUUACUGAGCCGGGUGUGCCGGUUCAUAUGUAGUUGCUGGCUGCUGAUUGAGUAGUAUCGAUGAUUUGCUGGCCACGCAACGGGUGCGCUUGCAGCGUAAUGGCAGAGGACAAUAUGAGAUACUGGCUGGUAGUAUAGGCUGCCGAAUGAUUAUUGGUCACGCAACAGGUGCGCUGAUAGCAUAUUGGCAGAGAACUAUAUUGCUGGCUGCUGAUUGAGUAGUACCAAUGUAAGCUGACAACGCAACAGGUGCGCUUGCAGUGUAAUGGCAGAGGACAAUAUUACUGGCUGGUGGCAGUGACAGACGUGUAUAUGUGCACACAAUACACGAACAUUAAAACAGUCACUUGCAGACAUGAAAGUGUGCCAAUGCACAUAUUGAUAGGUCAUGCCCUUUCUUUCUCUUAUUUGACACUCUCUCACUUAUUGUCUUUUGUGUCCCGUUCAAUUAUCUCUCUGUUCAGCGGUGAACAGGUGAAGGGAAAGUGAGAGAGAAAUUAGUGAUGGCACUAUUUGCGACUGAGAGAUCGCUAAAUUGGGAGCGCUGGUGAGAGCGGUAGCUAUGAUGGCGGAGGUGGUGGGUUCAAAGUUCACAAAAUUUUCAUCGAGAUUUUUAUGUUAAUUAAUUCCACUUUCGAGUCGGGUCAAAGGUCAAUAAGUUUUCACUCUGGCAUAGAGUCAACUUAUGACCUUUGAUAUGCAAGUAAUUGGCACUUUUUAACUAUUUUUUCACAGGGUUAUUUUUUUUGAUGUAUUGGGACUGCUUUUUAGCGUAUUCACUUUAACUUUUAUUGUCUCUGCUUGGCAUUUAAUGGCAUAGUUGUUGGCGGCCAUUGCUGUGAAAAAAUUUUCUUGCACAAAUUAAAACACGAAUUAUUCACUUUUUUUUUGUUGUGUUUAUUGGCGCGCGCUGGACUGGCUUGCUUGCGGCGCGGCGCCGGCGAGGGCUUGUAGUUAUAGUUCGGGGAACGGAGGCGCUUAGGUAUGAGCUGGCUUAAUUA